GUAAAUCCUUGCCUCUCACAGU
rnacentral:miRNA from 18 species